rnacentral:rRNA from 1 species
GAUGAACGCUGGCGGCGUGCCUAAUACAUGCAAGUCGAGCGAACGGACGAGAAGCUUGCUCUUCUGACGUUAGCGGCGGACGGGUGAGUAACACGUGGAUAACCUACCUAUAAGACUGGGAUAACUUCGGGAAACCGGAGCUAAUACCGGAUAAUAUUUUGAACCGCAUGGUUCAAUAGUGAAAGACGGUCUUGCUGUCACUUAUAGAUGGAUCCGCGCUGCAUUAGCUAGUUGGUAAGGUAACGGCUUACCAAGGCAACGAUGCAUAGCCGACCUGAGAGGGUGAUCGGCCACACUGGAACUGAGACACGGUCCAGACUCCUACGGGAGGCAGCAGUAGGGAAUCUUCCGCAAUGGGCGAAAGCCUGACGGAGCAACGCCGCGUGAGUGAUGAAGGUCUUCGGAUCGUAAAACUCUGUUAUUAGGGAAGAACAAAUGUGUAAGUAACUGUGCACGUCUUGACGGUACCUAAUCAGAAAGCCACGGCUAACUACGUG